GACGAACGCUGGCGGCGUGCCUAAUACAUGCAAGUAGAACGCUGAAGCUUGGUGCUUGCACCGAGCGGAUGAGUUGCGAACGGGUGAGUAACGCGUAGGUAACCUGCCUGGUAGCGGGGGAUAACUAUUGGAAACGAUAGCUAAUACCGCAUAAUAGUAGAUGUUGCAUGACAUUUGCUUAAAAGGUGCAAUUGCAUCACUACCAGAUGGACCUGCGUUGUAUUAGCUAGUUGGUGAGGUAACGGCUCACCAAGGCAACGAUACAUAGCCGACCUGAGAGGGUGAUCGGCCACACUGGGACUGAGACACGGCCCAGACUCCUACGGGAGGCAGCAGUAGGGAAUCUACGGCAAUGGACGGAAGUCUGACCGAGCAACGCCGCGUGAGUGAAGAAGGUUUUCGGAUCGUAAAGCUCUGUUGUAAGAGAAGAACGAGUGUGAGAGUGGAAAGUUCACACUGUGACGGUAUCUUACCAGAAAGGGACGGCUAACUACGUG
rnacentral:rRNA from 1 species